AUGUAUGAUUAUCAGGAAUACAGACAGAGGGGCGAAACACCUCGCACACGUAUUCACUUAAAUAAUCCUCCAGCUUUUAGGGGAAGGGAGUUUUACUCUAAAUCCUAUGUAGCACAGCAAAGAGAAGAUAAUCCCCAAUAUCCAAGACGGUGGGAGAAUAUGGACCCUAAAUACAGGGAUUUCCAGCAGAACGCCCGUCAUGGAUGGAAUGGGAGUGCUCUCUUCAACGCACGCACACAGACCGCUCUACCACACAGGGGGUCUAGAGACACGGGCAGGGGCGGACGCCGCCUGCCUACAAUCUUUGACUUUGUUCAAAAAGAAAUAAACACCAGAUAUGACAAAUCUACCGAAUAUGACAAAACUUAUACUGGACGUGACAACAGAUACACUGAACUUGACCCUAUAAACACCAACCGGGACCUCAGAUAUAAUAAUACAAACAGAACGAAUAACAGACAACCAGAAUCAUUACAGAUCAUUCCUGAAGACGAUUAUAGGGAUAGGAUCUACGAUCAGUUUGAUGAAAGAGACACAAUGCUGAGGAGGCCCGACCAGUUGGUGCUUCAACUAAAUCAGACAAAAAAGAAAAACAACAACAACAAAAACAGAAAGGGUCGAAACAAAUAUAAAAACUCAGUUGGCAUUUUGAUAGAACCUGAGUACCCACAACAUGAGAGAGUUUCAUCCAGAUUCGACAGAAAUACCUCUGAGAAUCUUACAAGAAGUAAUCUCAACAGAUUUGAAAAUCAGCAGAGAUACAAUGCGGAUACCGACAGGUUCUAUCGAUACACAAACAGAAAUGACCAACACGCACACGGCACUGGGGACAGAUUUAGACAAGACCGCUACACAGAGUACGGUGAUCAGGACUCUGAACCAUUAGACCCCAGACCAAACACCAGAGCAAGACGUGAGGUCUACUAUAACUCUGCUCGACCCACGGCCAGAAUGAUUUAUAAAAAAGAUUCACACAACACAUACAGCACACAAAGAGAUAGAGGGAACCGUUUCCUCCCCGGAAACAACAGGGGGGGAGGGCGUCAAAGAGAAUCUAAUACGGAUAGAAACCCUGAUUAUACACCUCCCUCGCCCAGGUUAAAGCUCACCAUGAAACUAAUGUACGAGCUGAUUCGUGCGGUGCACCAUCUGCAUAAUGUAACGACCAAAAUCAAAGAUAACACACCCACUGGGUUCCGAAAAAUGGCACAGUUUCUGAUUGAUACCAUUAAACCAGCUGCCCCUUCUAAAAGAACGGAGGAGCUGUUGGAAGGCAACGCCAGAAACUGGCUACAUAAUACCCAGCUCAUUUUAGAGGAACACUACGAGACCCACACACAUGAGGUCCUAUCAGAAUUAAAAGAAAGAACCAAUCAAGCGGAUUGGAGACAAGCGUUUGAGGUGGCUUCAAACUGGGCGAGAAAAAACUUCCGUGAGAGACUGAACGAAGAGGUGCUUGAAAAAGUGGAGGCCCUCUAUGUUGUACAAAUGAACACUGAAGCACAAACACACACGGGCACUAACAGACAAACGGACACGGUAGUACAACAGACAACAAGACGGGAGAGGAUUACUGUGGACGCACAGACCUCACCGCUGAACGUACCAGUCCCCUCACGCACCCCUACAGGGAGGGGGGAUUGGUCGUUCGAUGCGGAGGAGAACCCUCCCGAAGAGCCUCGACCACUUACACCCAUCCUAAUCCUACCCAUUCUACCCCUAAUAAAUUACAUCAUUUUAGCCCCACCCAUCCUAAUCCUACCCAUUCUACCCCUAAUAAAUUACAUCAUUUUAGCCCCACCCAUCCUAAUCCUACCCAUUCUACCCCUAAUAAAUUACAUCAUUUUAGCCCCACCCAUCCUAAUCCUACCCAUU
rnacentral:lncRNA from 1 species